rnacentral:rRNA from 1 species
GACGGAGGGUGCAAGCGUUGUUCGGAUUGACUGGGCGUAAAGGGCGUGUAGGCGGUUGGUCAAGUCCGAUGUGAAAGCCCGGGGCUCAGCUUCGGAAGUGCAUCGGAAACUAGCCAGCUGGAGCGCGAUAGAGGAGGGCGGAAUUCCUGGUGUAGCGGUGAAAUGCGUAGAUAUCUGGAGGAACACCGGUGGCGAAGGCGGCAUCCUGGACCAACACUGACACUGAGGAGCGAAAGCCAGGGGAGCAAACGGG